UUCGCCCACUCCAACAUCCAAGGAAGCGGCGCUGAGACUCUCAGCCUCGCCUCCGCUGCGCCGGACCCACACUGGCCUUCCUCCCUCGCCUUCCAAGAGCGCGCUCCCGCCUCUCCGCCUCGCUGGCUUGUCACUUGCCCGCUCCCUGGGCAGCCCCACUGGCAAAGCAACGCGGCCCUGCUUGGCUCGCCAGCGCCUCCUGCCGGGCGCAGGAGGAACAGCCGGCCCCUCUCUUGCUCCUGUCACUGCGGCGCCCUCUACACGGCCAUACACAGGCGGUCCCCAAGUUAUGAACAAGAUACAUUCUGCACUGCAAGCACAUGUAGGGCCAAGAAAUGAUUGGCACAGAUACUUGAAGAACGGAGCAGCCACAUUUUGCUUUGGCUAAUUUCUUCUUCUUCCUGACCUCUCUAGGUCCUCCGGUCCUAUACACAUGAAGUUCCAAAAGUCCUUCUGCUAUCCAUAUAAGAAACAAUUAUUGAAAUGGACAGGAUGCAACAGUAGAAAAGAACUAUUUAUUUGACUCUUCACCACCACUACCUGCGCCUUUGAUGAAUGGGACCUCUCGCAUCGGAAGGAAAAUCUGCAUGUCUACAGCCAAACCCAUCCUCUGUCAUUUUUGCAUGAUUGUAUUAAUAUAUGAUGUUUUGUUUCACUUGGGUCUGGAAUCGCCAGCCAGCCCUAUUAAGGGGCCAUGCCAUGUUCAUCUCAGAAGACAAUAGCAUUCCUGGGUAGAGCCAGAAAAUGCCCUCAAUCGCUUUGUUAUUUUUCCUGUUCAGUAAAAGGAGCCCCAUUCAUUGACACUUAAUUAUCCUUUGUUCCCAGCCCACACUGGCCAGUGACUGUGACUGGUCAGAAUUAGAGGCUUGGCUGCAGCCUAUGUCUAAAAAGGGCUAUGAAACUGUAUUCUGUAUGCAGAUACAUACUUUGUGAAUGUAUCAUUAGCUAGCAUCUUAUCUGCAGAUAAUAAAAUCUUCCUUGGCUGAAAAUCACCUUCUCUCUUUGCUUGCUGGCUAAUUUCAAUUGGGCCUAAUCUGUUUGCUCCCCAUAGCAGGGACUCACUCAAAUUGGGCAGCUCAGGCAAAUUACUUGCCUGGGUUUCUGCCAACAGGCAUCUCCCUGGUCUCACUGCCAGAGGUUGCCUCCUAAAAUGGGGCCAAUAACUGAUACAGAUACAAAGUAGGACCUACUCUAUUGUGGGUCCACCAUGUGAAAUAGGGGUACCUCUACUCUGUAGAUGUAAUGCAGUUUGACAAGACUUUAACUGUCAUGGCUCAAUGCUAUAGUUUUACAAGGUCUUUAGCUUUCUCUGCCUAACAGUGCCAGUGUCUCACCAAAAAAGAAACUCCAGAAUUUUAUAGUAUUGAGCCAUGGGAGUUAAAGUGUGAUCAAGAUAUUAUUUUUACAGUGUAGAUGCACCCUGAAUUUCUUUGUUAAAACCAUGUAGAUUUCCACUGUGUCAUGUUUCCAUCAUCAAGAGAAAUAAAAGUAUUGGAUUACCUGAGAAUUUUUCUGAUAACUUCCUUAUUCCUAUCUGUAUUACCUAGCAAUAUUUUAAAAUUAAUAUCUGUAUAAUGGAAUCUACUGGUGGGUUUUAUCUGUUUCAUUUUGUAUCUGCGGACUACUUUGUGGGGAAAUUAAAUUUAGUAGAGCAAUGUUUUGAAAGGCAAAGCCCGACCAGGGACAAUGAAAUAAAUGUGUUUGGAGGUUGUGCUAUUUGUUGUUGUAGUUCUUGAAUGUUAUUGUUUCAAAAUCCAAAUGACAGUUAUUUGUCCCAGAUUAAUUUUUGGCAAUUCUUUGACAUCAGCUGCAAAACUUUAUUCCCAUCCUUGAAUGGUUUUCUUUUUCAUUCAGAGAUAUGUUAGAAUAAAAAGGUAUCCUCUCCUUUCUUUUUCAUUUUUAAACAGUUAUAUUACAUCAGUAUAUGAGAGGACACUUUAGCACUGUGACACUAUACCGCUAUACUGCUUUGAACUGGGUUAUCUGAGUCCACACUGCCCUUUAUCCCAGUUCAAUGUUUGGUGCUAAAUUCACAAAUAUAGUAUUUCCUACAUAACAUUACCAUGUAUUGAACUGCUUUUUCAGUCGAUUUGUUGUAAAACAUAAUAUUUUGGUGCUUAAUUUGUAAAAUCAUAGUGUAAUUUGAUGUUUAAUAGGCUUUUCCUUAAUCCCUCCUUAUUAUCCAACAUUUUCGCUUAUCCAAUGCUUUUAUUUUUCAGUGAUUGGUUUGGGGGGGGGGGCACCCAAAUUCUGUUUGCCUACACUUGAAAAUUACCAUGGGCCGGCC
ensembl:lncRNA